rnacentral:rRNA from 1 species
CUCAAAGAUUAAGCCAUGCAUGUCUAAGCAGAGCCCUUGAAUGGUAAAGCCGCAAAUGGCUCAUUACAACAGCCAUAGUUUAUUGGGUCUAAUUUUACUUGGAUAUCUGAGCUAAUCGUUGAGCUAAUACACGCACAAAAGCUCUAACCGCAAGGAAAGAGCGCAUUUAUUAGAACAAAACCAAUCGGAUUUCGGUCCGUCCAUUGGUGAAUCUAAAUAACUCAGCUGAUCGCAUGGUCCCGAACCAGCGACAAACCUUUCAAAUGUCUGUCUUAUCACCUUUCGAUGGUAGUUUAUACGACUACCAUGGGUUUUACGGGUAACGGAGAAUAAGGGUUCGACUCCGGAGAGGGAGCCUGAGAAACGGCUACCACAUCCAAGGAAGGCAGCAGGCACGCAAAUUACCCACUCCCGGCACGGGGAGGUAGUGACGAAAAAUAACGAGGUGGUUCUCUAUGAGGCCCACCAUCGGAAUGGGUACAAUCUAAAUCCUUUAACGAGGAACUAUUGGAGGGCAAGUCUGGUGCCAGCAGCCGCGGUAAUUCCAGCUCCAAUAGCGUAUAUUAAAGUUGUUGCGGUUAAAAAGCUCGUAGUUGGAUCUGCGACCGAGGAGAGUGGUCACCCGAUGGGUUGAACUACUUUUCCUGGUCUAAUUCUUCGAUUUUCCCUUGAUGCUCUUCGUUGAGUGUCUUGGGUGACCGCAACGUUUACUUUGAAAAAAUUAGAGUGCUCAAGGCAAGCUAUUAGCUUGAAUAGUGGUGCAUGGAAUAAUAAAAGAGGAUAUUGGUCCGUUUUGUUGGUAAUGGUCUGAUAUAAUGAUAGAGGGGGACAAUCGGGGGCAUUCGUAUUGCGACGUUAGAGGUGAAAUUCUUGGAUCGUCGCAAGACGGACUACUGCGAAAGCAUUUGCCAAGAGUGUUUUCGUCAAUCAAGAACGAAAGUUARAGGUUCGAAGGCGAUCAGAUACCGCCCUAGCUCUAACCUUAAACGAUGCCAACUCGCAAUCCGCCAGUGUUAAAUGUAUGGCUUGGCGGGAGGCUUCCGGGAAACCAAAGUUGGGUUCCGGGUGGAGUAUGGUUGCAAAGCUGAAACUUAAAGGAAUUGACGGAAGGGCACCACCAGGAGUGGAGCCUGCGGCUUAAUUUGACUCAACACGGGGAAACUUACCCGGCCCGAACACCGUAAAGAUUGACAGAUUGAGAGCUCUUUCUCGAUUCGGUGGUUUGUCUGGUUAAUUCCGAUAACGAACGAGACUCUAGCCUGCUAAAUAGAUAUUGGAUUCGGUUGUCCAGUGUACUUCUUAGAGGGACAAGCGGCGUCUAGCUGCACGAGAUUGAUCAAUAACAGGUCUGUGAUGCCCUUAGAUGUUCGGGGCCGCACGCGCGCUACACUGAAGGAAUCAAUAUGCAUCUCAACCUUGUCCGAAAGGACUUGGUAACCCGUUGAAACUCCUUCGUGAUUGGGAUAGGGAUUUGCAAUUAUUUUCUUUGAACGAGGGAUUCCUAGUAAGUGCGGGCCAUCAGCUCGCGUUGAUUACGUCCCUGCCCUUUGUACACACCGCCCGUCGCUAUUACCGAUUGGAUGGUUCAGUGAGACUUGCGGACUUGCGUUGAGGCAGCUUCACGGCUGCCCCUUCUACGGGAAAGCAUUCUAGAGGAGAU